GAGUUUGAUUCUGGCUCAGAACGAACGCUGGCGGCAGGCCUAAGACAUGCAAGUCGUACGAGAAAGCCCUUUCGGGGGUGAGUAGAGUGGCGAACGGGUUAGUAACGCGUGGGAACAUACACAGCACAGGGGGAUAACCAUUGGAAACGAUGGCUAAUACCGCAUACGCCCUAAGGGGGAAAGAUUUAUCGGUGUUGGAUUGGCCCGCGUUAGAUUAGCUAGUUGGUGGGGAAUUGCCUACCAAGGCGACGAUUUAUAGCUGGUUUGAGAGGAUGAUCAGCAACACUGGAACUGAGACACGGUCCAGACUCCUACGGGAGGCAGCAGUCGGGAAUAUUGUGCAAUGGGGGCAACCCUGACACAGCCAUGCCGCGUGAGUGAAGAAGGCCUUAGGGUUGUAAAGCUCUUUCAGAUGUGAGGAUGAUGACGAUAGCAUCACAAGAAGCUCCGGCUAACUUCGUGCCAGCAGCCGCGGUAAUACGAAGGGAGCAAGCGUUGUUCGGAAUUACUGGGCGUAAAGGGCGUGUAGGCGGAUUAUCAAGUUAGGGGUGAAAUCCCGGGGCUCAACCUCGGCACUGCCUUUAAGACUGAUAAUCUAGAGUAUGUGAGGGGAUAAUGGAAUACCUAGUGUAGAGGUGAAAUUCGUAGAUAUUAGGUGGAACACCAGUGGCGAAGGCGAUUAUCUGGCACAUUACUGACGCUGAGGCGCGAAAGCGUGGGGAGCAAACGGGAUUAGAUACCCCGGUAGUCCACGCCGUAAACGAUGUAUACUAGUUGUCGGGCAUUGGUUCGGUGACGCAGCUAACGCAUUAAGUAUACCGCCUGGGGAGUACGGUCGCAAGAUUAAAACUCAAAGAAAUUGACGGGGACCCGCACAAGCGGUGGAGCAUGUGGGUUAAUUCGAAGCAACGCGAAGAACCUUACCCACCUUUGACAUGGUAGUUUGGGGUAUUGGAGACAAUACCUUUCAGUUCGGCUGGGGCUU
rnacentral:rRNA from 1 species